GAUGAACGCUGGCGGCGUGCCUAAUACAUGCAAGUCGAGCGAACUGAUUAGAAGCUUGCUUCUAUGACGUUAGCGGCGGACGGGUGAGUAACACGUGGGCAACCUGCCUGUAAGACUGGGAUAACUUCGGGAAACCGAAGCUAAUACCGGAUAGGAUCUUCUCCUUCAUGGGAGAUGAUUGAAAGAUGGUUUCGGCUAUCACUUACAGAUGGGCACGCGGUGCAUUAGCGAGUUGGUGAGGUAACGGCUCACCAAGGCAACGAUGCAUAGCCGACCUGAGAGGGUGAUCGGCCCCACUGGGACGGAGACACGGCCCAGACUCCUACGGGAGGCAGCAGUAGGGAAUCUUCCGCAAUGGACGAAAGUCUGACGGAGCAACGCCGCGUGAGUGAUGAAGGCUUUCGGGUCGUAAAACUCUGUUGUUAGGGAAGAACAAGUACAAGAGUAACUGCUUGUACCUUGACGGUACCUAACCAGAAAGCCACGGCUAACUACGUGCCAGCAGCCGCCGUAAUAC
rnacentral:rRNA from 1 species